GGGACAGGAGGAGAGGGAACGGCCUCCCCUCCAGGGGAGGUCUUUUCCCUUUGCAGCAGAAAAUUUUAACAAAACUUUGCUAAGUCAAACCCACAGAUUUCCUGCUGAAAACCAACUUACUGCUGAGACUUGAGGUGUCCAAAUAAUGUUGAAAACAAAGCACUGACUCGGAAGAUGGAGGAAGACAGCCUGAACUUGUGCUCCUUCUGUGCUUGUAACUCCGUGUCUACUCUGAUGCAUAAAAGGGAAAAUCCAUCCUUUCCAUGCUUCCCUGGUCGAUGUUUCUUGGAGGCACCAUUUAUGUUUGCAGGGGUAAGUUGUC